CGCGUAGGUGGUAGUGCAAGUCUGAGGUGGAAUCUUAGGGCUUAACCCUAAAACUGCCUUGGAAACUGUAUUACUUGAGUCAGUGAGGGGAGGGUAGAAUUCCCGGUGUAGCGGUGAAAUGCGUAGAUAUCGGGAGGAAGGCCGGUGGCGAAGGCGGCCCUCUGGCGCUGAACUGACACUGAGGCGCGAAAGCGUGGGUAGCAAACAGGAUUAGAUACCCUGGUAGUCCACGCCCUAAACGGUGGGUACUAGGUGUAGGGCUCGUAAGGGUUCUGUGCCGAAGCGAAAGCAUUAAGUACCCCGCCUGGGGAGUACGGCCGCAAGGUUGAA
rnacentral:rRNA from 1 species